rnacentral:pre_miRNA from 1 species
AGAGGGACAGCUGGACCAAAUGGUGGUUCCAUUCCCAGUUUUCCAAGAAAUCUCCAUACUGCUUUCCAUAUUGGAUGCACCAUUUGCAGUCCCACCAGCAGU